rfam:Gossypium arboreum cultivar AKA8401 contig_52019_1, whole genome shotgun sequence.
UAUUAAAAUUUCAUCCAUUUGUACGGUUAAAAAUUAGCUUGAUUGAUAAAAUAACCAGACAGUGACAUGUGUAUCCUAUACUAGCGUAUAGAGAUUAAUUUUUAAUAAUAGUAUUGGAUGAAGUUUUUAAUA